UUCAAAUAAAAUCACUUGUAUAAAAUUUUACCCGCCUCAUCAAUCCCAUGCACAGAGCCCGCAUUGAAUGCACAAUGUCAAAGCGAGCCUUCCUAUUUUCUCAAAUAACUCCCAAAAUAUUAUGAAAUACUUUUUAAAAGAGCAGUUACAAAAUACCAACUUUAAUGGGUUUUCUCAUAUAACAAAAACAUGUGAGUUUUAUUUUAGAAAAUAGGACUGAGUGAUGCAGUGAAAAUGAGCCUAUGAAAUACCAAACAUUUAAAUGAAAUUAACAAUAAACCACAUUUUUAGUUAAUAUUAAUAAUUUUUCUACACCUGCAAAUUAGUCCCAUUUAUUGUUUAGUAAAAAUAAUAAAUUAGAAAACAAACCAGAAUGAAAUUUUAAUGUAAGUGUCAGUUUAAAUUUUUUUAAUCUAAAAUUGUUUCAUUGUAAAAAUUAGAAAAAUAUGUAUAUUGAAUGCUGAAGAUUAGUUUUAAUUUCAUGAAUACCAACAAAGUGCUACAGAGUAUUAAAAAAAACAACUUUGUGUAUAAAAAAACCGCUUCAGAUAUAUAUACCCGCCAUGGGGCAGAUAGUUGAGAGACUCUAUUUGAUUGCGUACAAUUUCGGUAAACGUUCUCCACUCUCCCAUUCAAGGCGAAGCUGUUUCGCUGAAUUGAUCGUGCCUUGAGAAUGCAGAGCUCCUUUCCCUGGUACUGGAAUCACUGCUGAAUCUCCUAGCAUGAGCCUCUGGUUGUUUGAAUCACUAAAAAACGGCCUUUUUAAGUUCUAUGCUGACAUAUCGAACUUUUAUGAGCUGACUUAGGAGCUUCACUGAUCUUUGCUUCCUGUAGACUAUCUUCGAGUUGUACGGCUCACAGAGUUUUUUCAAGCUGUCAUUUUCAUCCUCUUCCACUUCGACCACAAACUGUCGCAUGAAGCUCUCUCUGACCUAAAAAAAUUUAUUGCACUCAAUUUCAUACCAGAACUUAAUGAAAUAUGCUUACCUUUGGUAGGAUAAAGUCUGAGGAGACUUUGUGUAAUACUGUCAUCUGAGGGCUGUCAGGAAAUUUCUCAAACACUCUAAGCCUGAACGGAAGAGUUUCUUUGAUUUCUGCACUCUGUUCUCUGAAUUUUAAUUGCUUUAAUUUUUUCAGCUCUUCGUCGAGUUCAAGAUUAUCUAAGAUGACUGCUACGAACAAGCUGAGCACAAUCUAUAAUAGAGGAUAUUUCUUAAAAACAGUAAAAACUAUUAUAAAAACUUCAGCAUUGUCUCGUCCAUAACUUCUACCCAGGCUUCUUGUGUCAAGAUUUGAAACAUAGACAUGAAUGCCUCCGGAAAGUUUUCAAAUUUUGUAAAGUCAGCUAGAAAGCAAAACAACUGCAUAGAAAUGCUGGAAGAAAUUAUCAAAAGGCACAUGGUGAAUAUUAUAAGGCUCCCGAGUUUUUUCCCAGGCCCGAAGAUCUUGUAGACAAAAUCCUCCAGCAUCGGGGAAGCUUUUACAAGUCUCAAAAUCCUUAGGACCUGUAACAAUUCAAUAUAGGUCAAUGGAGACAAAUAAAGGGACGGAAUUAUGUGUAGUGUCGUCCCAAUGCUCAGGAGGAGUUCGAACUUAUGGCCUUCCAUCAUGUUUAAAAUGCAUUGUCGCUGUGACAAUUCCAUUUGCGAGGAUAAUUCCCAUCAUUAACAGUCGGAAUGAUGCACUUCUUAGAAUCGUCUGGCAAAUUGGUGGAGCGAGGCCACUGUAUUUAUUCUCAUCAAGAGUAACUAAUUUCCACCCC
rnacentral:lncRNA from 1 species